UACAGAGGUGGCGAGCGUUGUUCGGAUUUACUGGGCGUAAAGGGUGCGUAGGCGGUUCUGCGUGUCGGAUGUGAAAUCCCACGGAUCAUCCGUGGAACUGCAUUCGAAACUGCAGGGCUGGAGUGUCGGAGAGGAGGGCGGAACUCUUGGUGUAGCGGUGAAAUGCGUUGAUAUCAAGAAGAACGCCGGUGGCGAAGGCGGCCCUCUGGACGACAACUGACGCUGAGGCACGAAAGCUAGGGGAGCAAACAGG
rnacentral:rRNA from 1 species